rnacentral:lncRNA from 1 species
UUCUCUGUCAGAGAACCGGUUCACAGGAAUGGGAAGUUUUUAUUACAUAUUAAGCAUUCAGCAUUCACCUUAACUGAAAGUCUUGACUUCAUUUAGUCCUGAUUGAAAAUGACAGUGAAAAAUAUAUGCCGGCCUUGCCAGAUCCGAUACCGUAGGGCAGCGAAGUGUUUUGCAAGUGGUGGGCUCCAUUCCAUGGGCUUCAAAUCACCAAGAGGGAGACUACUGCAAUUUCAGCUACAAUAG